GAUGAACGCUGGCGGCGUGCCUAAUACAUGCAAGUCGAGCGAACAGACGAGGAGCUUGCUCCUCUGACGUUAGCGGCGGACGGGUGAGUAACACGUGGAUAACCUACCUAUAAGACUGGGAUAACUUCGGGAAACCGGAGCUAAUACCGGAUAAUAUAUUGAACCGCAUGGUUCAAUAGUGAAAGACGGCUUUGCUGUCACUUAUAGAUGGAUCCGCGCCGCAUUAGCUAGUUGGUAAGGUAACGGCUUACCAAGGCAACGAUGCGUAGCCGACCUGAGAGGGUGAUCGGCCACACUGGAACUGAGACACGGUCCAGACUCCUACGGGAGGCAGCAGUAGGGAAUCUUACGCAAUGGGCGAAAGCCUGACGGAGCAACGCCGCGUGAGUGAUGAAGGUCUUCGGAUCGUAAAACUCUGUUAUUAGGGAAGAACAAAUGUGUAAGUAACUAUGCACGUCUUGACGGUACCUAAUCAGAAAGCCACGGCUAACUACGUG
rnacentral:rRNA from 1 species